AGUAGCGGUGAAAUGCGUAGAUAUCUGGAGGAAUACCAAAGGCGAAGGCAGUCCCCUGGUCCGAUACUGACACUGAGGUACGAAAGCGUGGGGAGCAAACAGGAUUAGAUACCCUGGUAGUCCACGCCCUAAACGAUGUCGAUUAGCCAUUGGAAGGACCCCUUUUCCUUKCAGUGACGUAGCUAACGCGUUAAAUCGACCGCCUGGGAAGUACGACCGCUAGGUUAAAACUCAAAGGAAUUGACGGGGACCUGAACAAGCGGUGAAUGAUGUGGAUUAAUUCGAUGCUACGCGAAGAACCUUACCUACCUUUGACAUGGCCAAAGUUCUACCGAGAGGCGGAAGUACUCGUAAGAGGAUUGGCGCACAGGUGCUGCAUGGUUGUCGUCAGUUCGUGUCGUGAGAUGUUGGGUUCAGUCCCGCAACGAACGCAACCCUUAUCUUUAAUUGCUCCUAUUUUAACAGGCACUUUAAAGAAACUGCCAAUGAUAAGUUGGAGGAAGGUGGGGAUCACGUCAAGUCCGCAUGGCCUCUAUAGGUAGGGCUUCACACGUCAUACAAUGGUUAGAACAAAGAGCUGCAAAUUCGUAAGAAGGAGCCAAUCUCACAAACCUAACCUCAGUUCGAAUUGCGGUCUGCAACUCGAGCGCAUGAAGCCGGAAUCGCUAGUAAUCGUGGAUCAGAAUGCCA
rnacentral:rRNA from 1 species